UCACCGUCAUGAUGAAAGCUACUUCCGACCUACCACAUAACUUUUCUGGCGAUAAUUUCACCUUCCUCUGGUGCUUCCAUGGUUCUGUAUUCUUGUAAGGUUAGGUCUUGAUGUUGUCCUUGGUGUAGGGAUACUGUUUUGCUUCUUUUGUAGGGUAGGGAUUGAGAGUGUUUGGCAUGAAGAGCUAUGCACCACAAGAUGGGAUUCUUGAUGUUUUUCAUUUUAUGUUAUAAAGGCGCUUUCCUGUGGUGUACUUGGGUGUAGAAUAUGGAGUCUGUUUUGGUCAAAUUUUUUGGGGGUGUAGCUCAGCAGUAGGAUUGAACUGCUUGUAGAUCUAAAGAAGGUUUCUCUUGCCGGUGUCCUGGCUUUGGUUACGGAAUGAUUUCAGAAGCUCCUAACUCGCACCAUGGCCUUCUCUCUCUAUAUAUACAUGUAUGUUUCUCUCACGCAUACACAGACUCUGCUAACAAGCUUUCUGCAGGUGAUGAAGCAACUGGUGCACAUUCAAAGGCAGUCAAGAGUUUGUGCUUUCUGUUCUGAGUUUUGUGUUUUCUGACUCUUUCCAAACACGAUGAAUAUUUCUUCAUGUUUUUGUGAAUCUUCACGUCCCUGAGCUUAUCCUGCAAGUAGUCUUUUGACGGUGGCAUCAUGGUGGAGCUAUCUGGGACCUGAAGUCCUAGAUUCAGAUAGAACAGUUCCCUCUAGUGGACGUGGAUUAGAAGUCCUGGCUUUCUGCAAGCUGAUCCGCGGAACAUCAAGACAAAGUUUGCUAUGUUUCGGGAGAAAUUCACCAAGGAUUAUCCAGGAUUAUCUAAGAAAUUAUUCUCUCAUCAAGCGCGGUGGUUUAUUUUAUGUAGACACGAACAAGGCAAGGUUUUUUUCAGAUUGGCAUGGUUUCUGGUGUAUAGAUGGGGAAAGAUGUUUCAGCGAAUUGUUGAUAUUGAAUUAUAAUUGAAGAUAUUAGUCUAAUAAUGCCCUUGCUUUCA